rnacentral:rRNA from 1 species
AUUGAACGCUGGCGGCAGGCCUAACACAUGCAAGUCGAACGAGUGGCGGACGGGUGAGUAAUGUCUGGGACACUGCCCGAUGUAGGGGGAUAACUACUGGAAACUGUAGCUAAUACCGCAUACCAUCGGAUGUGCCCAGAUGGGAUUAGCUUGUAGGGGGGGUAACGGCUCACCUAGGCGACGAUCCCUAGCUGGUCUGAGAGUAUGACCAGCAAGACGGGAACUGAGACACGGUCCAGACGCCUACGGGAGGCAGCAGUGGGGAAUAUGGCACAAUGGGCGCAAGCCUGAUGCAGCCAUGCCGCGUGUAUGAAGAAGGCCUUCGGGUUGUAAAGUACUUUCAGCGGGGAGGCGUUACUCGCAGAAGAAGCACCGGCUAACUCCGUGCCAGCAGCCGCGGUAAUAC